CCUACGGGUGGCAGCAGUGAGGAAUAUUGGUCAAUGGACGCGAGCCUGAACCAGCCAAGUCGCGUGAAGGAUGACUGCCCUAUGGGUUGUAAACCUCUUUUAUAUGGGAAUAAAAUUUUCUACGUGUGGGCAUUUGUAUGUACCUUAUGAAUAAGGAUCGGCUAACUCCGUGCCAGCAGCCGCGGUAAUACGGAGGAUGCGAGCGUUAUCCGGAUUUAUUGGGUUUAAAGGGUGCGUAGGCGGUGUUUUAAGUGAGUGGUAAAAUGUCGGGGCUUAACCUUAAUUUGCCAUUUAAACGGGAGUACUAGAGGACAGAGGAGGGAGGCGGAAUAAGUUAGGUAGCGGUGAAAUGCUUAGAUAUAACGUAGAACCCCGAUAGCGAAGGCAGGUUACCAGACUGUUACUGAUGCUGAAGCACGAGAGCGUGGGUAGCGAACAGGAUUAGAUACCCGGGUAGUC
rnacentral:rRNA from 1 species